ACCAGACUCCUACGGGAGGCAGCAGUGAGGAAUAUUGGUCAAUGGCCGAGAGGCUGAACCAGCCAAGUCGCGUGAGGGAAGACGGUCCUACGGAUUGUAAACCUCUUUUGCCGGGGAGCAACGGGGUCCUUGCGAGGGCCCAAUGAGAGUACCCGGAGAAAAAGCAUCGGCUAACUCCGUGCCAGCAGCCGCGGUAAUACGGAGGAUGCGAGCGUUAUCCGGAUUUAUUGGGUUUAAAGGGUGCGUAGGCGGGCUGUUAAGUCAGCGGUCAAAUGUCGGGGCUCAACCCCGGCCUGCCGUUGAAACUGGCAGUCUCGAGUUGGAGAGAAGUAUGCGGAAUGCGCGGUGUAGCGGUGAAAUGCAUAGAUAUCGCGCAGAACUCCGAUUGCGAAGGCAGCAUGCCGGCUCCACACUGACGCUGAGGCACGAAAGCGUGGGUAUCGAACAGGAUUAGAUACCCCAGUACA
rnacentral:rRNA from 1 species